AAACCGUUCAGGGGUAAACCUGAGAAACCCAAAAGAUCGAAUGGGGAGAUUCAUCGUCAGCUUUUUCGGCUUGCGUGCUGCUCGCGAUGCUUGUCUCGGAGCGUUAAUAGCGCUUUUUUGGACGAGCACGCUGUGGCUGCGCGUGCCCGUUGAAGUCGGCGUGCACUUCUCCCCUAGUAGGACGUCGCGACCCGUUGAGUGUCGGUCAAAGGCCCGUUGCGGUCGCCUGCCGGUGCGCAGCGGUUUCGGCCGUUUGCGCCGCCGGUAGACCCUUUGGUCGCCCGACCGACUGCUCGGCGGUAUAAAUUUUUUCGAAAGUUCAAUGGUAUCGAGCCGCAUGAAUUUAAUUUGAAUGCGUUCUUAUGGCUCGUCGGCAGGUGAGCCUCGUCUCGGAUUUUACGGACCUAGCGCCGUUGUCGAGCGUGGGCUUGCCGUUUCGCCGACGAUGUCCUCGGACGGGCUCUAUAAAGGGCAUUUAUGCCCUUUUGUUACCAGUCAGCGACGCUACUGCUUUGGGUACUUUCAGGACCCGUCUUGAAACACGGACCAAGGAGUCUAACAUGUGCGCGAGUCAUUGGGACUUGUUAAAAAUAAGCCUAAAGGCGCAAUGAAAGUGAAGGUCCGCUCUGAUGCGCGACCGAGGGAGGAUGGCUUCUUUUCUUUUCGGAGCGAAGGAGCCCGCACUCCCGGGGCGUCUCGUGCUCAUUGCGAGCUGAGGCGCACCCAGAGCGUACACGUUGGGACCCGAAAGAUGGUGAACUAUGCCUGGUCAGGACGAAGUCAGGGGAAACCCUGAUGGAGGUCCGUAGCGAUUCUGACGUGCAAAUCGAUCGUCGGAACUGGGUAUAGGGGCGAAAGACUAAUCGAA
rnacentral:rRNA from 1 species